rnacentral:lncRNA from 1 species
GGAAUGGAGAGGAGGAAGAGACAGGAGGGAGAGGGAGAGAAGCUGUGGCAGGACAAUAUGGCGGGUGACGUUAAGAUUCCACACUGAACCUUUACAGGUUGUUACGAAUGUUCCUAAGGAUGGAUGUGUACAGGGCUUUGUACAUGUAGUGGGCAGUUAUAUCUUAUCAAUUGGGCCAAAGGUUAUUGUGUUGUACGUUCUUUCAUGUAGCGAUUUAAGUGUAAGAAAGUGUGUGGCUGGCUGGUCUGGGCCACCAGAGCUGGGAUGUGUGUUUCUGGCAUGGUGGCAGCCUGCCUUGAGAAUUAGAUAGGUAGAGAGAGUGCUGCCAGGCUCAGAGAGAGGCCCUUCGGCAGUGUGAUAAUAGGACGGAGCAGAGCAGGUGAGAGGCUUUGCUGACUGAGAAUUAAGAUAUCCAGCAGAUAUCUUGGGGCACCGCGGUGUAGACCUCGUAGAGAUAAAAGACAACCAUACUUUUUUAUUUUUUAUAUUUUAACAACAAAAACCAGCAGUGCUCUAAAAUGAGAACAGCACCCAUACCUUACAGGGGCACUGCCAGAGUCAAAUACUUAUCAGGCACUUGGAGACAGUUUGAUACAUAGUGUUCACUAAAUAGUAGUUAUCACUGGGAACUGCCAGGAGCCAAAUUCUUGUAGUGAUACAACUUUAAACUCAGUUUUAAUGUGACUUGGAGUGGGAUGGGGAUCUGGAAAAGGAGUUCAGGUAAGAUGUGGGGGAUGAAUAUGACUAAAAUAUAUGUAUGUAUGAAAUUCUCAAAGAAUAAAACUAUAUUUAAAAAAGGC